ACAGCAAGGGGGAAAUCCACCCCUGUGAUCCAAUCACCUCCCACCAGGUUCCCCCCCACCACAACUUUGGGAAAUACAAUUCCACAUGAGAUUUGCAUGGGGUCACAGAGCCAAACCAUAUCAGUAGGAAAUCCUAUAUCUUUAUCUGUUUUAUGGAAUGUAAAACAAAUCCAUUUAUUCACAAAUGUGUAUUGAGUACUGUAUUAGUUUCCUAUUGCUGCUAUAAAAAACUUCUAAACAUUUAGUAGCUUAAAACAACAGGAACUUAUUAUCUUACAGUUCUGAAAGCCAGUAGUUGGAAAUGAGUCUUACAGGGCUAAAGUCAAGGUUUGGGCAGGGCUAUGUUUCUUCUGGAGGCUCUAGGGAAAAAUCUGUUUCCUUGCUUUUUCCUUGGGUCGAAAGCUAUAUUCAUUGCUCAUAGCCCCUUCCUCCAACUUCAAAGUUAGCAACCUAGCUUCUUUUCUCUCUCUUAUGCUUCCAUCACAUAGCUUCCUUCUCUUCCAUGUCAAAAUGUUAACUGCCACAUUAUUCACUAUAGCCUAAAAGUGGAAACAACACAAAUGUGCAUCAAUUGUUGAACUGAAAAAGCAACAUGUGGUAUAUCCAUACAAUGGGAUAUUAUUUCAUAAUAAAGAAAUGAAAUACUGAUAAAUGCUACAACAUGGAUGAAUCUUGAAACAUUAUGCUAAGUUAAAGAAGCUAGUCACAAAAGACCAUAAAUUAUAUAUUCCAUUUGUAUGAAAUAUCCAGAACAGGUACAUCUAUAGAAACAUAAUGUAGAUUAGUGGUUUGCCAGAACCUGGGAGAUGGGGGUUCAGGAGAAAUGGGGAGUAGUUAUUGUUAAUGCAUGCAGGGUUUCUUUUUGGGUGAUAAAAAUGUUCUAAAAUAGAUUGUGAUAGAUCAACAAAAAAGCUGUUUUCUUCUUAAAGAAGAAGAAUUAAAACUAGUAGGUCUUACAGUAGACUCAUUAUGCAUAUUAGUGACCAGAAAAUAAAUAUUUUCUGAAUAAUCACCAUUCUAUUUUUCUGUUCAGUGGAAGAAUUGAUAAGGAAACUGGGGAAAUGGAUAGGGAAACUGAGAAAUUGGGUCAAGUAUCCCUCCAAAUUGAACACUUUUCGGAAAACAUAUUCUAAUCAUUGUUUUACUUCUUUAGAUAGUAUAGAUUUUAUAUAGUAAUUCCACAGUUAAAACAUCCUGUUUGAAGAGCAAAUUUUCUAUUGGGGGUUCUUUUCACAUGAAAUAGAAAUUAGAUCCAUUGGUUACCCUUCACAUACAAAAUAUAAGUCCAGACAAUCCAAGCAUGGCUUUAAAAGUCUGGCUUUAACCUACCCUUCUAGCCUCAUCACCAGUAAUUCCUUGCUGUGGCCGAUUCUUCAGUUCAUAAUUCCCCUGAGCCUUCCCACACUUUUCCUCUGUCUAGAAUGCCCUACACUUUUCCUCCUGGAAAACUGCUACUCCUUCAAGGAACGGCUUAAUUGUCACCUUCACAGUAUUCUUCCUGACUCCCAUAGACAGAAUUAAUUGCUCUUGCCUCUGUUUUAAUAGUGUUUGGUUUUGCCUCUAGCAUAUCAUGUUAUGUUGUAAUGUAUUAGUUUAUCAGUCUUCUGCCAUUGAAGGCAGAAACCAAGUGUUUUUAUACUUCUGUAUCCACUGACUGUAAUAAGUAUAAGCCUGGCCCAUGGUAAGAUACCAAUUAAUGGUUGAUUGAUUAGAGGGUAUGUAUGUAUAUAUGUAGGUAGGUAGGUAGAUAGGUAGAUAGGUAGGUAGGUAGACAGACAGAUAGACAGACAGACAGACAGACAGAGAGUCAGCUAACUACUUGUGGUCUGGAAAAGGAAGCAUAAGAUAACAUUCUCCUAAUUCCCAUUCUCAAGGCUUGAUUAUCAGUAAUAAGUAUUUCCUGAGGCCCUCAGAGAAUGUGUAGUGUCAUUGAAAAUCCAAAUAUAUACAUAAUGGUUUCUGCCCUUAAGGACCUUAAGAGAGAUUAAAGAGAUAAGACUGAGAUGUAUGCUGUAACCAAAAAAAAAAAAAAAAAAAAAA